rnacentral:tRNA from 1 species
GGAGGGGUGGCCGAGCGGCUCAAGGCGGUGGUCUUGAAAACCACUGACGGGUAACCGUCCGGGGGUUCGAAUCCCUCCCCCUCCGCCA